CCAAUAGCGUAUAUUAAAGUUGUUGCAGUUAAAAAGCUCGUAGUUGAAUUUUGGGUCUGGCCGGGCGGUCCACCUUCCGGUGAGCACUGUUCCGACGCCGGGCCUAUCCUUCUGGUGAGACGGCAUGCCCUUCGCUGGGUGUGUCGGGGAACCAGGACCAUUACCUUGAAAAAAUUAGAGUGUUCAAAGCAGGCAUUUGCUCGAAUACAUUAGCAUGGAAUAAUGAAAUAGGACGCGUGGUACUAUUUUGUUGGUUUCUAGGACCGCCGUAAUGAUUAAUAGGGAUAGUUGGGGGCAUUAGUAUUCAAUUGUCAGAGGUGAAAUUCUUGGAUUUAUUGAAGACUAACUUCUGCGAAAGCAUUUGCCAAGGAUGUUUUCAUUAAUCAAGAACGAAAGUUAGGGGAUCGAAGACGAUCAGAUACCGUCGUAGUCUUAACCAUAAACUAUGCCGACUAGGAAUCGGGCGAUGUUAUUUUAACGACUCGCCCGGCGCCUUAUG
rnacentral:rRNA from 1 species